GGAGAGGUGGCUGAGUGGUUGAAGGCGGCGGUCUCGAAAAUCGUUGUGGGGGCAACUCCACCGGGGGUUCGAAUCCCCCCCUCUCCGCCA
rnacentral:tRNA from 1 species